rnacentral:rRNA from 1 species
GAUUCCUAGUGAUUAGAGUUUGAUCAUGGCUCAGGAUGAACGCUGGCGGCGUGCUUAACACAUGCAAGUCGAACGAACCUUCGGGUUAGUGGCGGACGGGUGAGUAACGCGUGGGAAUCUGCCCUCAGGAGGGGGAUAACGGCUGGAAACGGCCGCUAAUACCCCAUAUGCCGAGAGGUGAAAUGAAUUUCGCCUGAGGAUGAGCCCGCGUCUGAUUAGCUAGUUGGUGAGGUAAGAGCUCACCAAGGCAUCGAUCAGUAGCUGGUCUGAGAGGAUGAUCAGCCACACUGGGACUGAGACACGGCCCAGACUCCUACGGGAGGCAGCAGUGGGGAAUUUUCCGCAAUGGGCGAAAGCCUGACGGAGCAACGCCGCGUGAGGGAUGAAGGCCUCUGGGCUGUAAACCUCUUUUCUCAAGGAAGAAGAUCUGACGGUACUUGAGGAAUAAGCCACGGCUAAUUCCGUGCCAGCAGCCGCGGUAAUACGGGAGUGGCAAGCGUUAUCCGGAAUUAUUGGGCGUAAAGCGUCCGCAGGCGGCCCUUCAAGUCUGCUGUUAAAAAGUGGAGCUUAACUCCAUCAUGGCAGUGGAAACUGUUGGGCUUGAGUGUGGUAGGGGCAGAGGGAAUUCCCGGUGUAGCGGUGAAAUGCGUAGAUAUCGGGAAGAACACCAGUGGCGAAGGCGCUCUGCUGGGCCAUAACUGACGCUCAUGGACGAAAGCCAGGGGAGCGAAAGGGAUUAGAUACCCCUGUAGUCCUGGCCGUAAACGAUGAACACUAGGUGUCGGGGGAAUCGACCCCCUCGGUGUCGUAGCCAACGCGUUAAGUGUUCCGCCUGGGGAGUACGCACGCAAGUGUGAAACUCAAAGGAAUUGACGGGGGCCCGCACAAGCGGUGGAGUAUGUGGUUUAAUUCGAUGCAACGCGAAGAACCUUACCAGGGUUUGACAUCCUGCGAACCUCUUGGAAACGAGAGGGUGCCUUCGGGAACGCAGUGACAGGUGGUGCAUGGCUGUCGUCAGCUCGUGUCGUGAGAUGUUGGGUUAAGUCCCGCAACGAGCGCAACCCACGUCUUUAGUUGCCAGCAUUCAGUUGGGCACUCUAGAGAGACCGCCGGUGAUAAACCGGAGGAAGGUGUGGAUGACGUCAAGUCAUCAUGCCCCUUACAUCCUGGGCUACACACGUACUACAAUGCUACGGACAAAGAGCAGCAAGUUCGCGAGGACAAGCAAAUCUCAUAAACCGUGGCUCAGUUCAGAUCGUAGGCUGCAACUCGCCUACGUGAAGGAGGAUCGCUAGUAAUCGCAGGUCAGCAUACUGCGGUGAAUACGUUCCCGGGCCUUGUAGACACCGCCC